UACGGGGGGAGCAAGCGUUGUUCGGAUUUACUGGGCGUAAAGGGCGCGUAGGCGGUCGUGACAAGUCACUUGUGAAAUCUCCGGGCUUAACUCGGAACGGUCAAGUGAUACUGUCGGACUAGAGUACAGAAGGGGCAACUGGAAUUCUCGGUGUAGCGGUGAAAUGCGUAGAUAUCGGGAGGAACACCAGUGGCGCAAGCGGCUGACUGGCCGAGACCUGACGCUGAGACGCGACGGCGUGGGGAGCAAACCGG
rnacentral:rRNA from 1 species